ACGUAGGGGACGAGCGUUGUCCGGAAUUACUGGGCGUAAAGGGCGCGCAGGCUGUGCUGCAAGUCAGCUGUGAAAUAUCUGGGCUUAACCCGGUUAUGCGGUUGAGACUGCAGUGCUGGAGUGCUGUAGAGGCAAGCGGAAUUCCCAGUGUAGCGGUGAAAUGCGUAGAUAUUGGGAAGAGCACCGGUGGCGAAGGCGGCUAGCUGGGCAGCAACUGACGCUGAGGCGUGAUAGCCAGGUGACCAUAAGG
rnacentral:rRNA from 1 species